GCACAAGCGGUGGAUGAUGUGGAUAAUUCGAUGCAACGCGAAAACCUUACCUACCCUUGACAUGUCCGGAAUCCCGAAGAGAUUUGGGAGUGCUCGCAAGAGAACCGGAACACAGGUGCUGCAUGGCUGUCGUCAGCUCGUGUCGUGAGAUGUUGGGUUAAGUCCCGCAACGAGCGCAACCCUUGUCAUUAGUUGCCAUCAUUUGGUUGGGCACUCUAAUGAGACUGCCGGUGACAAACCGGAGGAAGGUGGGGAUGACGUCAAGUCCUCAUGGCCCUUAUGGGUAGGGCUUCACACGUCAUACAAUGGUCGGUACAGAGGGUUGCCAACCCGCGAGGGGGAGCUAAUCCCACAAAGCCGAUCGUAGUCCGGAUCGCAGUCUGCAACUCGACUGCGUGAAGUCGGAAUCGCUAGUAAUCGUGAAUCAGCAUGUCACGGUGAAUACGUUCCCGGGUCUU
rnacentral:rRNA from 1 species